CAGUCGUACCUGCGGAUAAUCAGCCUUUAGGAUGCGAUUUUGUGGAGCGUGAGGAGCUAAUCGCCUUCAUGCCUAUAUAUUCGUGUACUUGGGGUGUACUUAUUCGUGAGGUAAGUUAACAUCAAUUUUGGUCGUCAUAAAAUGACUGGAGGAAUGUGGCUUCGAUCUCGUAUUGAAGUGUUAUAGCCUUUGGUAGAUGUGAUGUUCGAGACCGAGGAUUGCAAUGGAUACCCUUCUGGGCUAUUCGUCUGAUCUCUGAUACGUUGCCUUGAUGUUGAAAGCUUGCUUAU
rnacentral:rRNA from 1 species